rnacentral:rRNA from 1 species
CCUACGGGAGGCUGCAGUGGGGAAUAUUGGACAAUGGGGGGAACCCUGAUCCAGCCAUGCCGCGUGUGUGAAGAAGGCCCUCGGGUUGUAAAGCACUUUCAGUGAGGAAGAACGCCUGGUGGUUAAUACCCAUCAGGAAAGACAUCACUCACAGAAGAAGCACCGGCUAACUCCGUGCCAGCAGCCGCGGUAAUACGGGGGGUGCGAGCGUUAAUCGGAAUUACUGGGCGUAAAGCGCGCGUAGGUGGCUUGAUAAGCCGGUUGUGAAAGCCCCGGGCUCAACCUGGGAACGGCAUCCGGAACUGUCAAGCUAGAGUGCAGGAGAGGAAGGUAGAAUUCCCGGUGUAGCGGUGAAAUGCGUAGAGAGCGGGAGGAAUACCAGUGGCGAAGGCGGCCUUCUGGACUGACACUGACACUGAGGUGCGAAAGCGUGGGUAGCAAACAGGAUUAGAUACCCUGGUAGUC